UAGUAACGGCGAGUGAACCGGGAUGAGCUCAAAUUUAAAAUCUGGCGUCUUUCAGGCGUCCGAGUUGUAAUCUAUAGAGGCGUUUUCCGCGCCGGACCGCGUCCAAGUCUCUUGGAAUAGAGUAUCAAAGAGGGUGACAAUCCCGUACUUGACGCGACAACCGGUGCUCUGUGAUACGUUCUCAAUGAGUCGAGUUGUUUGGGAAUGCAGCUCUAAAUGGGUGGUAAAUUCCAUCUAAGGCUAAAUAUUGGCGAGAGACCGAUAGCGAACAAGUACCGUGAGGGAAAGAUGAAAAGCACUUUGGAAAGAGAGUUAAACAGCACGUGAAAUUGUUAAAAGGGAAACGAUUGAAGUCAGUCGUGUGAAAGGUAUUCAGCCGUCUCUGGCGGUGUAUUUGCCUUUCACGGGUCAACAUCAGUUUGAUCCGGUAGAAAAAGGCGGGAGGAAGGUGGCACCCUCGGGUGUGUUAUAGCCUCCUGUCAUAUGUGCCGGACCAGACUGAGGAACGCAGCUUGCCGCAAGGCCGGGGUUCGCCCACGUACAAGCUUAGGA
rnacentral:rRNA from 1 species